rnacentral:lncRNA from 1 species
AUGUCAUUAUCAACAACAUUAUCCCACUUAAAGAUAGGGACAGCCAGCAGUUGA